rnacentral:rRNA from 1 species
GACGAACGCUGGCGGCGUGCUUAACACAUGCAAGUCGAACGGUAAGGCCUUCGGGUACACGAGUGGCGAACGGGUGAGUAACACGUGGGUGAUCUGCCCCCUACUCUGGGAUAAGCCUGGGAAACUGGGUCUAAUACCGGAUAUGACCUCCUGCUUCAUGGUGGGUGGUGGAAAGUUUUUUCGGUAGGGGAUGAGCCCGCGGCCUAUCAGCUUGUUGGUGGGGUAAUGGCCUACCAAGGCGACGACGGGUAGCCGGCCUGAGAGGGCGACCGGCCACACUGGGACUGAGACACGGCCCAGACUCCUACGGGAGGCAGCAGUGGGGAAUAUUGCGCAAUGGGCGAAAGCCUGAUGCAGCGACGCCGCGUGGGGGAUGACGGCCUUCGGGUUGUAAACCCCUUUCAGUCGGGACGAAGCGCAAGUGACGGUACCGAUAGAAGAAGCACCGGCCAACUACGUGCCAGCAGCCGCAGUAACAC